UACAGAGGUCUCAAGCGUUGUUCGGAUUUAUUGGGCGUAAAGCGUGCGUAGGCGGCGGGGUAAGUGAGGUGUGAAAUCCCGGGGCUUAACUCCGGAACUGCAUUUUAUACUGCCCUGCUCGAGGACUGGAAAGGAGACUGGAAUUUACGGUGUAGCAGUGAAAUGCGUAGAGAUCGUAAGGAAGACCAGUGGCGAAGGCGAGUCUCUGGAAAGCUGCUGACGCUGAGGCGCGAAGGCCAGGGGAGCAAACGGG
rnacentral:rRNA from 1 species